rnacentral:lncRNA from 1 species
UCUAAUCUCUUAAGAAGAGUUUCAGCAAGCUUUGCAUACAUAACGUUAAUGCUAAUUCUCUUGAUAAAGAGUUUUAACAAAGAUGAUUUUGCAAUAGUAACGUCACUACUUAGCAUUUCAUACGGAUUGUUCCCUAUUUCGAUCUCGCCGUUACGUGUUUCGUAGCAAUUAACGUAUGUUAAAGGAUUUUCAAGAGAAUCGACUCAGGUACGUUAAGGCUAUUCCUUCUUUCUUUUUAGCAUGAUCUAUACGACACGAACGAAACGAGCAAAUGCACAAAUUCCAUAAAUGACUCUAUUCACAUAAGUAUUAGAGAUAUCUAUGUUCUUGAAUUUUCAUGUCUUAUUAUUCUAUCGUCUGUUUAUAGGCCUCAGAAAAUACAUAAGUUGAUAAAGUAUGUUUCAUGAUAUUAAUCAGAGGUAUAAUGGUCUUAUGUUUCAUGAUAUUAAUCAGAGGUAUAAUGGUCUUAUGACGUUCCAAGAGAUUUUAUUAACGUACUUCUCAUGCAUUGCAUUGAUUUAUAAAUGUACAUUGACCCAUGAGCAGUCGAUGUUAUAUAUAUAUAUAUAUAUAUAUACACGUUGAUGAUUUUGUCCACAGUGGCCGAGAUGAUAUGAUAGGAUGCUCUUAAAGGCUUGAUGAUGUUAUGAACACAUAUACCUAUGCACGACAUGACAUCCAUAUGAAUAUGCAUAAUACUAAAGUAUUUCAUAAUUUACAGAGUUAUACAGACUUAUAGGUUGAGUCAUUUACUCCAUGUUUCUUCCAUGUCUUUUAUAUACUUAUUUAUAUGCCAUAUAUACUCGGUACAUUAUUCGUACUGACGUCCCCUUUUUUUUUGGAGAUGUUACAUUUCAUACAGGUCCGAUAGACAGGAUGAGAGCCUUCCAUGUUGGCUAUCAGCUCAACGGAAGGUGUUGGUGUGCUCCAUUUGUUUUUUGGAGAUGCUUUUUUAGUCAGUUGAUAAGAACAUGUAUUGAUUGGAAUGGCGGGACCCUGUCCCUACCUUUAUGAUAUUACGUAUUAUUAGAGGCUUGUAAACAGUUGUCUUGUAAGUGAAAAUUUAUAUGGCUUUGUCGGCCUAUGUGUAAUAUACGAGUGAUUAUUUUGGUCUUAUAGGCCC